rnacentral:rRNA from 1 species
AAAUUGAAGAGUUUGAUCAUGGCUCAGAUUGAACGCUGGCGGCAGGCCUAACACAUGCAAGUCGAACGGUAACAGRAAGCAGCUUGCUGCUUYGCUGACGAGUGGCGGACGGGUGAGUAAUGUCUGGGAAACUGCCUGAUGGAGGGGGAUAACUACUGGAAACGGUAGCUAAUACCGCAUAAUGUCGCAAGACCAAAGAGGGGGACCUUCGGGCCUCUUGCCAUCGGAUGUGCCCAGAUGGGAUUAGCUUGUUGGUGGGGUAACGGCUCACCAAGGCGACGAUCCCUAGCUGGUCUGAGAGGAUGACCAGCCACACUGGAACUGAGACACGGUCCAGACUCCUACGGGAGGCAGCAGUGGGGAAUAUUGCACAAUGGGCGCAAGCCUGAUGCAGCCAUGCCGCGUGUAUGAAGAAGGCCUUCGGGUUGUAAAGUACUUUCAGCGGGGAGGAAGGGAGUAAAGUUAAUACCUUUACUCAUUGACGUUACCCGCAGAAGAAGCACCGGCUAACUCCGUGCCAGCAGCCGCGGUAAUACGGAGGGUGCAAGCGUUAAUCGGAAUUACUGGGCGUAAAGCGCACGCAGGCGGUUUGUUAAGUCAGAUGUGAAAUCCCCGGGCUCAACCUGGGAACUGCAUCUGAUACUGGCAAGCUUGAGUCUCGUAGAGGGGGGUAGAAUUCCAGGUGUAGCGGUGAAAUGCGUAGAGAUCUGGAGGAAUACCGGUGGCGAAGGCGGCCCCCUGGACGAAGACUGACGCUCAGGUGCGAAAGCGUGGGGAGCAAACAGGAUUAGAUACCCUGGUAGUCCACGCCGUAAACGAUGUCGACUUGGAGGUUGUGCCCUUGAGGCGUGGCUUCCGGAGCUAACGCGUUAAGUCGACCGCCUGGGGAGUACGGCCGCAAGGUUAAAACUCAAAUGAAUUGACGGGGGCCCGCACAAGCGGUGGAGCAUGUGGUUUAAUUCGAUGCAACGCGAAGAACCUUACCUGGUCUUGACAUCCACGGAAGUUUUCAGAGAUGAGAAUGUGCCUUCGGGAACCGUGAGACAGGUGCUGCAUGGCUGUCGUCAGCUCGUGUUGUGAAAUGUUGGGUUAAGUCCCGCAACGAGCGCAACCCUUAUCCUUUGUUGCCAGCGGUCCGGCCGGGAACUCAAAGGAGACUGCCAGUGAUAAACUGGAGGAAGGUGGGGAUGACGUCAAGUCAUCAUGGCCCUUACGACCAGGGCUACACACGUGCUACAAUGGCGCAUACAAAGAGAAGCGACCUCGCGAGAGCAAGCGGACCUCAUAAAGUGCGUCGUAGUCCGGAUUGGAGUCUGCAACUCGACUCCAUGAAGUCGGAAUCGCUAGUAAUCGUGGAUCAGAAUGCCACGGUGAAUACGUUCCCGGGCCUUGUACACACCGCCCGUCACACCAUGGGAGUGGGUUGCAAAAGAAGUAGGUAGCUUAACCUUCGGGAGGGCGCUUACCACUUUGUGAUUCAUGACUGGGGUGAAGUCGUAACAAGGUAACCGUAGGGGAACCUGCGGUUGGAUCACCUCCUUACCUUAAAGAAGC